rnacentral:rRNA from 1 species
GAUGAACGCUAGCGAUAGGCUUAACACAUGCAAGUCGAGGGGCAUCGAGGGUAGCAAUACCUGUCGGCGACCGGCGCACGGGUGAGUAACGCGUAUGUAACCUGCCCGCAACAGAGGGAUAACCCGGCGAAAGUCGGACUAAUACCUCAUAAAACAGGGGUUCCGCACGGGGCUAUUUGUUAAAGAUUUAUUGGUUGCGGAUGGGCAUGCGUACCAUUAGGUAGUUGGUGAGGUAACGGCUCACCAAGCCAUCGAUGGUUAGGGGUUCUGAGAGGAAGGUCCCCCACACUGGUACUGAGACACGGACCAGACUCCUACGGGAGGCAGCAGUGAGGAAUAUUGGUCAAUGGGCGAGAGCCUGAACCAGCCAAGUCGCGUGAAGGAUGACUGCCCUAUGGGUUGUAAACUUCUUUUACAGGGGAAUAAAAUGAGAUACGUGUAUUUUAUU